rnacentral:rRNA from 1 species
UACAGAGACUGCAAGCGUUAUUCGGAUUCACUGGGCGUAAAGGGUAGGUAGGUGGUCUCAUUUGUCUGGGGUGAAAGCCUGGAGCUCAACUCCAGAACUGCCUUCGAUACUGAGAGUCUCGAGUCCGGGAGAGGUGAGUGGAACUGCGAGUGUAGAGGUGAAAUUCGUAGAUAUUCGCAAGAACACCAGUGGCGAAGGCGGCUCACUGGCCCGGUACUGACGCUGAGGUGCGAAAGCGUGGGGAGCAAACAGG